UACGUAGGGACCAAGCGUUGUCCGGAAUCAUUGGGCGUAAAGAGCGUGUAGGCGGCUUGUUAAGUCUUGCGUGAAAUCUCGGGGCUCAACCCCGAGCGGUCGUGAGAAACUGGCAGGCUAGAGUGCGGGAGAGGAGAGUGGAAUUCCUGGUGUAGCGGUGAAAUGCGCAGAUAUCAGGAGGAACACCAGCGGCGAAGGCGGCGCUCUGGGCCGGUACUGACACUGAGGCGCGACAGCGUGGGGAGCAAACAGG
rnacentral:rRNA from 1 species